rnacentral:rRNA from 1 species
UAGGGAAUCUUCCGCAAUGGACGAAAGUCUGACGGAGCAACGCCGCGUGAGUGAAGAAGGUUUUCGGAUCGUAAAACUCUGUUGUAAGGGAAGAACAAGUACGUUAGUAACUGAACGUACCUUGACGGUACCUUACCAGAAAGCCACGGCUAACUACGUG